AUACCUUUCUCGGCCUUUUGGCUAAGAUCAAGUGUAGUAUCUGUUCUUAUCAGUUUAAUAUCUGAUAUGUGAGGCAACGCUUCACAAUGAUAUUAAAUUUAUUUUUUGUGGGGGAGAGCCUGAUAUGGUAGCUCGCUACUAAGGCUCUUGAGUGUCGCCCUUUGUGUUGCACUAUUGCUAGGGCUUGGCGCACCCCAA
rnacentral:snRNA from 1 species